rnacentral:lncRNA from 1 species
AGAACUACAAAAGAGGUCAAAGGGGGCAAACAAGAGAUUUUAAAAUAUUUGGUUUUAAAGGAUAUGAGUAGUAGGAUACCAAAGCCUGAGGGUGCACAGCUGAGGUCAAUUGGUAUUAAUUGCUAACACCUAGAGGUAAUUAGCAAUAAUUACCCAAAGGAGGGAAGGGAGCAGCCAGAAGGACUUAAAGGCAGUAUUUCCAGGAACUCCUACCACACUGGGAACCUAAUAGUUUCUCAGUAAGAGGAAAUAAAUGUUUUCCACAGCAAUUUGUUUAGUUUUUAAAUUGCACUACAAAGAAACGCCUGAGGGAAGCUUAUGUAUAUACUAUUAAAACUUGUAGGUCCUCCUAUCCAGAGGUGAAGAUUUUUGCCCAUCCAUUGAGUCUGAGCUGGUCUUAUGAUUUGCUGUAACUAGAAGAGUGCAGGGAAAGUGAAAUUUACAUUACUUCUGUUGCUGGGUCUUAAAAGACCUUGCAGCCUCCACUUAGACCUUUUAGGAAUGCUGUGCUGAGAUCAUCUUGUGAGGAAGCUGGUCUAGCCUACUGGAGGAUGAGCAAAGUUGCAUAGAAGAUCCCGGCAUCCAGACGGAUGGCACCAACUCCAGAUGCAUCCACUUUCUAUCCUUCUCCACUCUGCUCUCUGUCCAGGAAGGCUGAUCUCUAUGGACUACCUCAAUAGAUCCCAUUCAGUUUUUUGGAAGAUUAGCCUUGAACUAACUUCAUGCCACCAAUCCUCCUCUUCUUGCUGAGGAAGCCAGGCCCUGAGCUAACAUCCGUGCCCAUCUUCCUCUAGUUUAUAUGUGGGACGCCUGCCAAAGCAUGACUCGAUGAAGAGUGUGUAGGUCUGCACCCGGGACCCAAAUCGGUGAACCUUGGGCCACCGAAGCAGAACGCGCAAACUUAACCACUGCACCACCAGAUGUCACACCAUCCCUGCAUCUCUGGAAUGAAUCCCACCUGAUCAAGGGUAAUGAAGGCUUCAUAGAAGGAGUUAGGAAGACUCCCCUCCUCUUCAAUUUUUUGGAAGACUUUGAGAAGGAGAACCUCUUUGUGAGAAGGCUGGUCCAUACCAAGGUUCUAAUCUGCAAUUAUCUAGAAGAACAAAGCCUGUCCAGAAGAUAUUGAACUUACAACAGUUGUCUACAAUCAUAUUUUUCUAAAUGAAGAUUUGCCAAGUCAGCAUCCAAUUGCUUUCCUUUCCUUGUAUUUUUCUAUAGUGCUUUGGCAUUUGUGAAAUGCUUUUACAUUCUGCAUUUUAUUUACCUUUACUUUUGACAUAGAAAUCUAGGUUGGCAGGUUUGGUUUUUAUAUUUCCCCAGCUCUUUAAAUUUGUCUUCCCAUUUUUUGUGUUCUAGUUGUUUUUAUUGAGAAGCCAUUUAUCAGUCUAGUUGUUCCUUUGAAGGAGAUAUAUAUCCAACCCCUCCACCCUAGCUGCUUUAAAGAUUUUUUCUUUGUCUUUGACUUAUAGCAGUUUGACUCUGAUGUGCCUAGGUGUGGUUUUCUGUGUAUUGAUCCUGCUUGGAAGGUUCUUGAAUCUGUGACUUGUUGACUUGAUUAGUUUUGGAAAAUUUUGGCUAUCAUUUCAUUAAAUAUUGUUUUUAUUCUAUCCUCUUUCUUGUUUCCUCUCCUGGGAUUCCAAAUAGAUUUCCCAUAUGUGCUAUAUGUAUUUUUCUGAUUUUUCCACCUUUUAUUUUCUCUCUGUGAUUUAAUCUGGAUAUUUUCUAAUAACAUUUUUUAAAGACUUUUUUUUUUUGGAAGCAGUUUUAGAUUUACAAUAAAAUUGAGAGGAAGGUACAGAGAUCUCCCACAUAGUCUCUGACUGCACACACGCAUAGCCUCCAUCAUUAUCAACAUCACUCACCAGAGUCAUUUGUUACCGAGGAUGAACCUACAUUGAUACAUCAUAAUCAUCCAAAGUCCAUAGUUUACCUUAGGGUUCGCUCUUGGUGUUGUACAUUCCAUGGGUUUGGACAAAUGUAUAAUGACAUAUAUCCAUCAUUAUAAUAUCAUACGGAGUAUUUUCAUUGCCUUAAAAAUCUUAUGUGCUCUAUCCAUUCAUCCUUUCCCUCACCUCACCCCAGGAAACCACUGAUAUUUUUACCAUCUCAGUAGCUAUACCUUUUCCUGAAUGUCAUAUAGUUGGAAUCAUAUGAUAUGUACCUUUCUUGGAUUGAAUUCUUUCAUUUAGUAAUAUGCAUUUAAGAUUCCUCUGUAUCUUUUCACGGCUUGAUAGUUCAUUUCUUCUCAGCGCUGAAUAAUGUUCCAUUGUCUGGAUGUACCAUAGUAUAUUUAUCCAUUCAU